UACGUAGGGUGCGAGCGUUAAUCGGAAUUACUGGGCGUAAAGCGUGCGCAGGCGGUUUGUUAAGACAGAUGUGAAAUCCCCGGGCUUAACCUGGGAACUGCAUUUGUGACUGGCAAGCUAGAGUAUGGCAGAGGGGGGGUAGAAUUCCACGUGUAGCAGUGAAAUGCGUAGAGAUGUGGAGGAAUACCGAUGGCGAAGGCAGCCCCCUGGGCCAAUACUGACGCUCAUGCACGAAAGCGUGGGGAGCAAACAGGG
rnacentral:rRNA from 1 species